GCUUGACCUCAAAUCAGGUAGGAUUACCCGCUGAACUUAAGCAUAUCAAUAAGCGGAGGA
rnacentral:rRNA from 1 species